rnacentral:lncRNA from 1 species
AUGGUUUUGGUUUGCAAACAAAAAGCAUCUACCCAUAAAUCUGCAGAACUGCAAAAGGCUGAUGAAUAUUUCUUGAGGAACCACCUGCGUGCAGUAAUUCACAGUGGCUGCCACAUACAGAGUUCUGGAUCCGAGAACCAUCAAAUCAGACAGACAGCUAUCCCACUGGAAAUGAGAUUCUGCUACAGUCUGACAUGGAUUUUCGCUCAGCAUCAGACCUACUGACAGACACCUGUCUCCUCCUGAUGCCUCCUUUGGUGAAGCAGGAGGGUUGAUUUUUCAUUCCUGUGGGGGAGGGGAG